rnacentral:rRNA from 1 species
AACGAACGCUGGCGGCAUGCCUAACACAUGCAAGUCGAACGAGACCUUCGGGUCUAGUGGCGCACGGGUGCGUAACGCGUGGGAACCUGCCCUUAGGUUCGGAAUAACUCCCCGAAAGGGGUGCUAAUACCGGAUAAUGUCUUCGGACCAAAGAUUUAUCGCCUUUGGAUGGGCCCGCGUUGGAUUAGCUAGUUGGUAGGGUAAAAGCCUACCAAGGCGACGAUCCAUAGCUGGUCUGAGAGGAUGAUCAGCCACACUGGGACUGAGACACGGCCCAGACUCCCUCGGGGAGGAAGAAGGGGGGAAAUUGGGACAAUGGCCGAAAGCUUGACCAAGAAAGGCGGGGGGAUUGAGGAAGGCUUAAGGUUUGAAAGGCUUUUUUCCCGGGGAGGUUAUGACAGUACCGGGAGAAUAAGCUCCGGCUAACUCCGUG